CAAGAGCGUAUGUAAAAGUUGUUGCAGUUAAAAAGCUCGUAGUUGAACCUUGGGUUUGGUUGGCCGGUCCGCUUUUUUGCGAGUACUGGAUUCAACCGAGCCUUUCCUUCUGGCUAACCAGUCGUUUCGGCGGCUGGCGAACCAGGAUUUUUACUUUGAGAAAAUUAGAGUGUUCAAAGCAGGCAUUAGCUUGAAUAUAUUAGCAUGGAAUAAUAGAAUAGGACGUUGUGGUUCUAUUUUGUUGGUUUCUAGGACCAUCGUAAUGAUUAAUAGGGACGGUCGGGGGCAUCAGUAUUCAGUUGUCAGAGGUGAAAUUCUUGGAUUUACUGAAGACUAACUACUGCGAAAGCAUUUGCCAAGGACGUUUUCAUUAA
rnacentral:rRNA from 1 species